rnacentral:rRNA from 1 species
AGAGUUUGAUCCUGGCUCAGGAUGAACGUUGGCGGUGUGCCUAAUACAUGCAAGUCGAACGGUGACUAUUUUGUAGCAAUACGAAUGAAAUCAUAGUGGCGAACGGGUGAGUAACGCGUUGGUGAUCUGCCUCGAAGUGUGGAAUAACUUCCCGAAAGGGUAGCUAAUACCGCAUACUCUCUCAAGGUUUAAAAAAUUGAGAGUAAAGGAUUUAUUCGCUUCGAGAGGAGCCUGCGUCCCAUCAGCUAGUUGGUAGGGUAAUAGCCUACCAAGGCAAUGACGGGUAGGGGACCUGAGAGGGUGGCCCCCCACAAUGGAACUGAAACACGGUCCAUACACCUACGGGUGGCAGCAGUAGGGAAUAUUAGAAAUGGGCGAAAGCCUGAUCUAGCAACACCGCGUGUGCGAUGAAGGCCUUCGGGUUGUAAAGCACUUUUUGGAGGGAAUAGGAAGGAAGGUACCUCCAGAAUAAGUCUCGGCUAACUACGUGCCAGCAGCCGCGGUAACACGUAGGAGGCAAACGUUAUCCGGAUUCACUGGGCGUAAAGCGCGUGUAGGUGGUUCUGUAAGUAGGGCGUGAAAGCUCCCGGCUCAACUGGGAGAGGCCGUACUAAACUGCAGAGCUAGAGGAUGGUAGAGGGAGGUGGAAUUCCAGGUGUAGUGGUGAAAUGCGCAGAUAUCUGGAGGAACACCAGUGGCGAAGGCGGCCUCCUGGACCAUUCCUGACACUCAGACGCGAAAGCUAGGGUAGCAAACGAAAGGAGAGACUCCGGUAGUCCUAGCCCUAAACGAUGCAGAAUAGGGGUCGGGCGGGUUAAUCACCCGUCGGUGUCCAAGUAAACGCGAUAAGUUUUGCCCCCUGAGGACUACGCCGCCAAGCUAAAAACUCAAGGGAAUGACGGGGUCCCCGCACAAGCAGCGGAGCGUGUGGUUUAAUUCGAUGCUCCGCGAAGAACCUUACCUGGGUUUGACAUAACAGUGGUAGAGAAGUGAAAACGGAUCGACCCUUCGGGGAGCUGUUACAGGUGUUGCACGCCUGUCGUCAGCUCGUGUCGUGAGAUGUUCGGUUAAGUCCGCUAACGAGCGCAACCCGCGCUGUGUGUUACAAGUGUCACACAGUACCGCCGGUAUUAAGUCGGAGGAAGGUGCGGAUGACGUCAAGUCAGCAUGACCUUUAUAUCCAGGGCUACACACACGCUACAAUGGUCAGAACAAUAGGUUGCCAAGCCGCAAGGCGGAGCCAAUCCUCCAAAUCUGGCCUCAGUUCAGAUUGCAGGCUGCAACUCGCCUGCAUGAAGUCGGAGUUGCUAGUAACCGCAGGUCAGCAUACUGCGGUGAAUACGUUCCCGGGGAUUGUACACACCGCCCGUCA